rnacentral:rRNA from 1 species
ACGCUAGCGGAAUGCUUUACACAUGCAAGUCGGACGGCAGCGUGUCCUUCGGGAUGACGGCGAGUGGCGAACGGGUGAGUAAUGUAUCGGAACGUACCCAGUAGAGGGGGAUAACACAUCGAAAGAUGUGCUAAUACCGCGUACGCCCUUUGGGGGAAAGCAGGGGACCUUCGGGCCUUGUGCUAUUGGAGCGGCCGAUAUCGGAUUAGUUGGUUGGUGGGGUAAAGGCCUACCAAGGCGUUGAUCCGUAGCUGGUUUGAGAGGACGACCAGCCACACUGGGACUGAGACACGGCCCAGACUCCUACGGGAGGCAGCAGUGGGGAAUAUUGGACAAUGGGGGCAACCCUGAUCCAGCCAUUUCGCGUGUGCGAUGAAGGCCUUCGGGUUGUAAAGCACUUUUGGCAGGGAAGAAAUACGUUGGGUUAAUACCCUGGCGGUCUGACGGUACCUGCAGAAUAAGCACCGGCUAACUACGUGCCAGCAGCCGCGGUAAUACGUAGGGUGCGAGCGUUAAUCGGAAUUACUGGGCGUAAAGGGUGCGUAGGCGGUUGCGCAAGACAGAUGUGAAAUCCCCGGGCUUAACCUGGGAAUUGCAUUUGUGACUGUGCGGCUAGAGUAUGUCAGAGGGGGGUAGAAUUCCACGUGUAGCAGUGAAAUGCGUAGAGAUGUGGAGGAAUA